UUAGUUUUUUCAGUUUAAAGGAUUAUUGUUAACUGUUCAGCCCUUUUACAAUCAAUAAACAAACUUCGUUAUAAAACUUGUAUAAUUUUGUAGCUUUUAUUGGUCUUUCCAACUCUAAGUAAGAGGUCUUAUUUCUUGGGCACCUACGUGGUACCUUGUACAGGGCUCCAAAAGGUCUUCUGUUUUGUUGUUUGAACAGAUGCUUUGAAAGAAAAAGAAAAAAAAAAAAAAGCCUUUUUGUAUGUCAGGGAUUGGAAGCUAGCAGGGGUGAGGGAAUAGGAGAUAAGUUAAGACUAACAUCCGUUUUAGGGCUUUGCGGUUUCGCCAGAGGAGGGGUAAGAUUGAGCCCUUUUAUAGUUGAGUACAUCCUGCACCAUUGGCUGUCUCGUAGCCCAAAAGAAGGUGAACUGAAGUUCAGUUUCCAAGGGGUAUUUCAUUGUAUCGGCUACUCUGAAAUGUUUCCAUGCCUAGUACUCAGGACAGGGAGCAAUGGACUUUGCAUUGUCUUGCUCGCCAGCUGCCCACCAAGUGGAUCGAGUUGGUGUAAUAUAACCUGUCCCAUCCAGGCAGAUAUGUGAUUCACUCCUAAUUCCCAGUUCAAACCCUUGUGGUCCGCCCUUCGUUCAUCUUCCUCCACUUUCCUCCUCUUCCUCAGACUCUCCCAAGGAGCUCCGUCCUAUGAGGCAUGAUGUGUGGAAUUCUUUACCACUCUACGGAGUUAUUAAUAUCAGCCGUGUUCUCUGCUUUCCGUGAACCUGCAAAAGCAAGAGGAAAAUGGAGACAGAAAGACUGGAUAAGUUGUUCAAGAUCCCCUGGUUUAGAAGUAUGAGUGUUGCCUCAAACCCAAGUCUUCCAGCCCCACACUCCUUGGUCUUACCUCUCUACCACGCGCCUACUCAGAACGACAACUCAAAACAGAGGUAUGACUGGUAAGCCCUUCUUGGGGUAUUCCGUUUUUCUGAGAAGCAUCAGACACUGUGAGCGAAAGACUAGAACAAGGGCCAUAGUGCUCCAGAGAGGCUGGCAAGCGGUUUGAGCCAAGUCCAAGCCUUGCCUGUUCGAGUCGUGCCUCCUUCAGGUGCUGAGGCAAGGACAGCCCAUCCACUCUUGAAGUUUCCAGAAUCACAGUUGGGUACUUUUUUGAACUCACACCAUUGAAAACUAUCAAGGUCAGAACAUGAUUGAAGAACCUUCUCCCUCUCUCUUAAGUUGCUGCGUUUAUAUGAUAUUGUUUUCCACUAAAGAAGGUUCUCUUAAAAAUGAGGUUGAGAUCCCUAAAGAAAUUGCUUCAAUCAGCAGCAGGGCUUAAUGACUGUUAAUGGGAAGUGGAGAUAGGAUAGUAAGUGUUACUUUGAUUAAUAAGAGAACUGCAGAGAAUUUAAAUUGUGCCACUGAUGGAUUAUUUUCUUCAAGCUUGAUAAGCACUUCUCAUUUGUUCUUAAAUUUGGUCAAUACUGUUAAAGGCAGCAAAAUGAAGUAUAAUUAAUUCUAUUACGGCUGCUCAGACCAAGUGUUACUAAGAAACAGAUUAUGAUGCAGGCGACAGCAGAACUCACUGUGUUGACAGUCCGAUGCUCUGAAUACCUGUCGUCGCUUGCUAGCCUGAAAGAAUGAAGAAAAUAUUUCCGUAUCGUGAUUUCGAGAUACCUAAAACUGUUUUUAUCAUCUGCACGUGUUCCGCUGACCUAAAUCAGGGAGUUAUCAAUGCAACGACCAGCUGCCACUAAAAUGAUCCCGCCUUGGAAAUAUAGAGAGUAAAUAAAAGAUUGGGAUCAUAUAUCAGUUAAAACAUCAGGAGCUGGAUGCUCAUUUUGAAUUAAUCACUAAGAAAAUGAGAUAUUGAUUUGAUGUUGAGAGAAAGCUUUACAUAUUUCCUUUUUUUCCCAAAGCUUCUGCCCCAUAUGAUGAGCCACGGUUUUCUUUACCUUUGCUCUUAAUUUUACUUAGAAGAGUGGAUAAACAGAUGACAUUCAGAGAAAAGAUAUCUUAUUUUAGUAGGCAAUUUUAUUUACUCUGAGUACUAAUGCCUGGCAUGGCACGAAAUUAGACCCACGACUUCCCUUUUUUUUCUGAAAACGGCAGGAUUACACCAGCGUUUCCUGAAUAGCUUUUUCCCCUCCCUCAACCCUUUUUGAAAAUCUAUCACUAUCUAUUUAUUUAAAGGACACAAAUGACUUUAUAAGUCAUGCUCAAUGUCGUGCCUGAAUGUGGAUUGAUACAUACGCGGUCUUACCUCCUGAUUUUCAGCUUCUCAUUCAGUGAUUCUCAUCCCUACAGCUCAUUCUCCAGGGUAUCUCUGGUUAAUUCCAGGAGUGCUUCCAAGCCUUAAAAUGAAAAUAAAUUAAUUCUACUUCAUAUUUUUUUUUUAAAGGAAAUAAGCAAUGUGUCAGUCCUGUUUCACAGAAGCCACCAAAUAACAGCAGGCUUUUACAACUCCAGAAAGGCUGGGAAUCAGACUCCCGCUGCACAUGUGUCCUUCUGUUCGCUAUUUCUAUUUCCAAGUCUUGCGCUUCUUCCAAAGUGUGUAAAGUCACUGGAAGUGCGUUGAAGAGAUGCAAACCAGGAAGUGUUUACGUGAUAAAACGGGCUCAGAGACAACUCUCUGGCAAGGGGAAACCAAGGGCGAGAAAACUGACCACCAGAGGAAGCUGUAUUCUAAAAGGAAAAGACAUGGUUUUGUGGAUGACUGAAGCAUUUCUGCUUCUCCUCGAGACACAUAGAGUGCAUGUUGGCUGGAGAGUCAACUAUUACCUGAAGGCAAGUUCUCUGGAAUCUUCUUCGGUGCCACAGGCUCAGAGGGUGGGCUGGCUGAUAUAGCACCAGGCAGACAAAAUGGCCUCCUUCCAGAGAGGGGGUGGGUCGGCUGCUGGCUCCUGGCCACCACCUCAGCCAGCUUUAAGGAAGUCACACAGUCCGGAGAUGUCUUCCAGACUGACAUUCCCACUGGAGCUCUGCCAAGGAACCUCAGAGGAGAGCCGACCACCUCCCUUUCCCAGCCAGCACUGUCUUCUGGCUAUGGUUGGAGGCCUGAUGGGCACAAACUCCUCUUGCUGCAGAUCGUUUCCCUCACCCCCGCCCCUACCCAUUGUUUCUCACCUGGGGGGCCUAAGAUGGUCUAGCUGGACCACACUGCUCUGGGUAAACUUCAGUUCCCUGUGGGGGCUCUCUCUUCUUACCCACUCACCACAGAGGCUGUAAAGGAGGAGAGGCCACACCCUCCUGGAGUUUGGGCCAGUCCUCUUCAAGUGCGCUCAGUGCACACCAGUGCCCUUCAUGGGGUCUACGCUCACCGACAGGUGUUGAGCUCUCCAGCGUCCAGUUCCCAGCCUGCCAGAGCCUCCCAGCCUCGCUCCUUUUGCAACGUCCCUCUGAGCUCUUCCUUCUGCCCUGGGUGUAGGAAGCAGCUGAGAAUGCAUUCUUCACCCCAGCACAUCCUCUGCCCUUGGCAUUUACAGGACUAGUGGCCACUGGCCCAGCAAACACACACGGCCUGAGGGGGAGGUGGGGUUCACCUGGGGAAGAAGGGUUUAUGCUCCACCCUGACCACAGUAACCUCAGCAGGGUCUCAAACCCCUAUGCCGCCCACAAGCAUCGUGCAGUUACCUGGGCAGCUCCUUGGUCCCCUAAAGGGCCCAGAGCAGUCUGGAUUCCGUCUGAGAAGCAGGAUAGCCAGCCGUCCUCCCUUGUUUGGCAGGGUGGUAGGUGUCCACUGGGGAGGGUCACAUUGCUGAAACGUUCUUCGGGAUGGAAAGCAAGCCCCUCGUGGAAUUAUUCAGAAAGUAACUACAUUAUUGUUGUUAACUCAGCAAAGGACAUUGCCUCCAGUUCGUUCGUUCCAGUUCGUGCUAUCAGCUAUUUGAGGAAUGAUUGUUUUGUGGAAAGAAAUCACGGUGCUCUGGGCGCCUAGGUGGCUCGGUCGGUCGGUUAAGAGAGUCUUAUUCUUGGCUCAGGUCAUGAUCUCCCAGUUCGUGGGUUUGAGCCCCACAUCGGGCUC